rnacentral:rRNA from 1 species
GAACGCUGGCGGCGUGCCUAAUACAUGCAAGUCGAACGCUUCACUUCGGUGAAGAGUGGCGAACGGGGGAGUAAUACAUAAGUAACCUGGCAUCUACAGGGGGAUAACUGAUGGAAACGUCAGCUAAGACCGCAUAGGUGUAGAGAUCGCAUGAACUCUAUAUGAAAAGUGCUACGGGACUGGUAGAUGAUGGACUUAUGGCGCAUUAGCUUGUUGGUAGGGUAACGGCCUACCAAGGCGACGAUGCGUAGCCGACCUGAGAGGGUGACCGGCCACACUGGGACUGAGACACGGCCCAGACUCCUACGGGAGGCAGCAGUAGGGAAUUUUCGGCAAUGGGGGAAACCCUGACCGAGCAACGCCGCGUGAAGGAAGAAGUAAUUCGUUAUGUAAACUUCUGUCAUAGAGGAAGAACGGUGGAUAUAGGGAAUGAUAUCCAAGUGACGGUACUCUAUAAGAAAGCCACGGCUAACUACGUG